GACGAGCGGCGGACGGGAGAGGAAUGUCUGGGAAACUGCCUGAUGGAGGGGGAUAACUACUGGAAACGGUAGCUAAUACCGCAUAACGUCGCAAGACCAAAGAGGGGGACCUUCGGGCCUCUUGCCACCAGAUGUGCCCAGAUGGGAUUAGCUAGUAGGUGGGGUAACGGCUCACCUAGGCGACGAUCCCUAGCUGGUCUGAGAGGAUGACCAGCCACACUGGAACUGAGACACGGUCCAGACUCCUACGGGAGGCAGCAGUGGGGAAUAUUGCACAAUGGGCGCAAGCCUGAUGCAGCCAUGCCGCGUGUAUGAAGAAGGCCUUCGGGUUGUAAAGUACUUUCAGCGAGGAGGAAGGCAUUGUGGUUAAUAACCACAGUGAUUGACGUUACUCGCAGAAGAAGCACCGGCUAACUCCGCGCCAHCAGCCGCGGUAAUACGG
rnacentral:rRNA from 1 species